rnacentral:tRNA from 1 species
GGAGAGGUGCGAGAGUGGAUGAAUCGAGCAGUCUCGAAAACUGCCGUACCUUAACGGGUACCGUGGGUUCGAAUCCCACCCUCUCCGCCA